rnacentral:rRNA from 1 species
CACGUAGGGAGCAAGCGUUGUCCGGAUUUAUUGGGCGUAAGGAGCUCGUAGGUGGUUCGAUAAGUCAGGUGUGAAAACUCUGGGCUCAACUCAGAGACGCCCACUUGAUACUGUCGUGACUUGAGUCUGGUAGGGGAGUGUGGAAUUCCCGGUGUAGCGGUGAAAUGCGCAGAUAUCGGGAGGAACACCAGUGGCGAAGGCGGCACUCUGGGCCAGUACUGACACUGAGGAGCGAAAGCGUGGGGAGCGAACAGG